rnacentral:rRNA from 1 species
CCUACGGGGGGCAGCAGUGAGGAAUAUUGGUCAAUGGCCGCAGGGCUGAACCAGCCAAGUCGCGUGAGGGAUGACGGUCCUAUGGAUUGUAAACCUCUUUUGUCAGGGAGCAAAGGGCGCCACGUGUGGCGUUUUGCGAGUACCUGAAGAAAAAGCAUCGGCGAACUCCGUGCCAGCAGCCGCGGUAAUACGGAGGAUGCGAGCGUUAUCCGGAUUUAUUGGGUUUAAAGGGUGCGCAGGCGGAAUGUCAAGUCAGCGGUAAAAUUUCGGGGCUCAACCCCGUCGUGCCGUUGAAACUGGGGUGCUUGAGUGAGCGAGAAGUAUGCGGAAUGCGUGGUGUAGCGGUGAAAUGCAUAGAUAUCACGCAGAACUCCGAUUGCGAAGGCAGCAUGCCGGCGCUCAACUGACGCUCAUGCACGAAAGCGUGGGUAUCGAACAGGAUUAGAUACCCUUGUAGUC